rnacentral:SRP_RNA from 1 species
GCUGGGCAUGGUGGCGCAUGCCUGUAGUCCCAGCUACUCGGGAGGCUGAGGCAGGAGAAUCAUUUGAACCCAGGAGGCGGAGGUUGCAGUGAGCUGAGACUGCUCCAUUGCACUCCAGCCUGGGUGACAGAGUGAGACUCCGUCUCAA